rnacentral:piRNA from 1 species
UGUUCAAAAUUAAAAUUUGCU